rnacentral:rRNA from 1 species
AUUGAACGCUGGCGGCAGGCCUAACACAUGCAAGUCGGGCGCGCGGCGGACGGGUGAGUAAUGUAUGGGGAUCUGCCUGAUGGCGGGGGAUCACUACUCGACACGGUCGCUAAUAACGCCUACCAUCAGAUGAACCCAUAUGGGAUUAGCUUGUCGGGGAGGUAACGGCGCCCCUCGGCGACGAUCCCUAGCUGGUCUGAGAGGAGGAUUACCAACACUGGAACUGCGACACGGCCCAGACUCCUACGGGAGGCAGCAGUGGGGAAUAUUGCACAAGGGGCGCAAGCCUGAUGCAGCCAUGCCGCGGGUAUGAAGAAGGCCUUCGGGUUGUAAAGUACUUUCAGUCGGGAGGCGUUACCGACAGAAGAAGCACCGGCUAACUCCGUGCCAGCAGCCGCGGUAAUUC